rnacentral:piRNA from 1 species
UAAUAUUUAUUGACUGUGUCUACUGCCAAC